rnacentral:rRNA from 1 species
UACGAGGGGGGCGAGCGUUGUUCGGAAUUACUGGGCGUAAAGCGCGUGUAGGCGGCUAUGUAAGUCGGGCGUGAAGUCCCACGGCUCAACCGUGGAAGUGCACCCGAAACUGCGUAGCUAGAGUCCUGGAGAGGAAGGUGGAAUGCUUGGUGUAGAGGUGAAAUUCGUAGAUAUCAAGCGGAACACCGGUGGCGAAGGCGGCCUUCUGGACAGUGACUGACGCUGAGACGCGAAAGCGUGGGGAGCAAACAGG